rnacentral:rRNA from 1 species
AGGACGAACGCUGGCGGCGUGCUUAACACAUGCAAGUCGAGCGAACCUUCGGGUUAGCGGCGAACGGGUGAGUAACACGUGGGCAACCUGCCCCGAGCUCUGGGAUAACCCCGGGAAACCGGGGCUAAUACCGGAUAUGACCCGAGAAGACAUCUUCUCGGGUGGAAAGUUUUUCGGCUCGGGAUGGGCCCGCGGCCUAUCAGCUAGUUGGUGAGGUAACGGCCCACCAAGGCGACGACGGGUAGCC